rnacentral:lncRNA from 1 species
UCGCAACUUGAUCCUCGAAAACAAUAACAUCCUUAAGACGAUUGUCCUUAAGAGAACUAAACCUAACAUAGCUUCUGUUGCAAGAAUUCAAUGACGCUGAGAGACAAUGAAUACUAAUAAAUUAAUAAACAAUUUAAUAAGAUUCAAACACAAACGUAUACCAAUAAAUUAUAAUAAUAAUAAUAAACAAUUCUUGAUUACCUUGCCGAGUGUAUGAGCAAGGGCAGCGCCGGCAACACCAGCGCCGACAAUGAUGAUAUCGACGUCAUUGUUUCCAGGUUUCACCGUUAGGGGUUCGUUGUUUCUGCUCACAAUCUCCUUGCUCCGACGUCGCAGGAGGUAGAGAAGCAGAGACGCGAACAAGGAGGCGAAGCAUGUUGUCAGGAUUAAGUGAUCGACGGCCAUUUAUCUCCGCCGCUCGCGAGCGACCAAUCAAUGUCGGUGAUUCGAGGAGGGUUGUUACGAAACGACGCGUAGUUUUUUUUUUGUGUAAGGAAAACGAUCUUGUUGGUAUUAUUAUGUCAAGGAUGAAGAGGUUGUGGUUGUGAAUCGAACUCGUGGCUUCUUAAUAAUUUCAUAAGUUUACAAGGACGAAAAUAAUUAAAAAUAUAGGUAAGACGUAACCUACAAUAAAUACCUGUUAACAUAAUUAUUAAAGAUAUUUUUAGUAAUUACAGAAUCAACCUAAAUACAUUAGCCAGUUAGAUAUCCGUGUGUUUCAACUUCUUUUUAACCUUAAUUUUUGUAAUGAAAUGCUAAUUAUCAUAUACUAUCUAACAGUGAUGGUUUAAUUUGUUUUCUUGUACCAAUAUAACCAAACCUUAAACACAUGGUUGAAUGACAUGUCUUGUGUGUUUCAAGUUCUUUUAACCUUAACUUUUGUAGUGAAAUGCUAAUUAUAAUUAUUCUUACGGUAUGGUUUAAUUUGUUGUUUAUACCAAUAUACCCCAAACCUGUCGAUCACGAUGACCUUCCCACAUGUGACAACGAAAAUUAUCAGAAGAAGAAGACACGUGGGAUGAUAUUGCCUUCAUAUCUCCUAUAACAAACAAACGUUACAUUUUCGACACAAUUAAAGUGCAAUUAAAUACGACUGGGACAGAAUAUCUAAGCAUAUGUGAUAUGACUUUAUGUGGACUUAAAUGUUUCCGACCCCUACAAUCUUAUUCCUACCAAUCAACCACCACAACACAAAGUUGAAUUGUUUAACGAGUCAAAUGUUUGGGCCUAAGCUGGAAAUAAUAAUGGGCCAUGGGCCGAUAUAAUACGCAUAUCUACGGGUUUAAAACCAACUCUUCCACAUCAUACGACCGAGUUUGGGCCAAUUCAUGCACACGUGUGGAACAACAUGUGCAAAAGACAUUAUUACGUAUGUAAAAUGAAAAUCAAUGGUUUCAACUUUCAGCUUUCAAGUUCAACAAAACUGAACCAACCACACAUUCAUUUAUCCCACGUAUGGGGCUACAGUGAUAUUACGUCAGGCAUCAUUAUUUCAUAGUAAGUGGCAUCAAUAAAUUCUCUCUAGUUUUUUCUUUUUUCAAAAAUUUACUAAUUUAAAUUGUUUUAUUUAUUGAAAAGUUCCCUAAAAAUCAUGGAGGACGGAAUAUUUUAAAAUUUUGGUGAAACUUUAGGUAAAAGCUGAUACUGGGGUGGGGUGUGAAAAAGAGACAAAAGAAGGGAAUGUAGAGAUGAGGUGGUGAGGUAUGUUGGAUUGUUGUGGGACGAUAUGGUCAAUAAAGCAAAUCGCAUUAUUGGAGACACAUUACAUAUUUAACUCACUUUCAUCUUCUUGUUUCGACGUACUAGAAAGAACAAAGUAUGAGGAAAAUAUAUUGAAGUGACUAGAAACCUAAUUAUUACAUAUGGGUCAUUUCAUCUCCAUGCACAUUCUCUUUUCAUAUUUUUGCCUUAUCUUUAUACGAUAUUAACAUUCUAAUCGAUUACCAAAACCAUCAAUGCCAUCAAAUCAGUCUCUAAAUGUUCACGUUUUCAAAAAAUAACUAUCUAAGUAAAUUGAGUAUCAAAACAUACAUGCUACUAAUUUGGUGUUGUUUGAGUUGGUCUAAAUCAUUUUCCACGAUUUCACCAAGAUCUUUUCCAUGAUCAGAUGACUACAAUAUCAAAAUUAUCAAUAUAAAUUUACGUACUCAUUUGAUAAUUUAUAUAUGCAACUAAGAUGCAAGGUUUGUAAAAAGAAAUGCAUUGAUAACAUAUGUUAUAGAGAGAUUCAUUCUGUUUCACAUGAAUACAACUCAAAAGAAACAUAUAACGCUCCUAAGCAGACUAUUUAUAUCGAUAAACUAAACCGAACAAUAAUUCAAACCGGAUAAACCCGGAGAUAAACUUACACACUUGGACCCUAAACCAAGAAAACCAGAGUUAGCCAUUAGAUUGGAUCAAGAAUCAGCCCACGCAGCGAAAACCGGCAUCUGCGGCAGAGUAAGAGAAACGGUCUUGAGGUCAGCAUUAGGGUUCGUGGUCCAAGAACUCAUAUUUCCAACCACAUUUGCUCCGAACAUCUUCGGACCAACUUGAGGCAACGCAAAUAUCGUCGGAAAACUCAAAACCCUCUCCGGGCUACCCACUUCCUUAGUAGAACCACCGUCCACGACAGCGGUUAAGGCGGUUUCCUCGUCGCUAAUGUUGCGGACCACGAUGCUGUUGCUGUUCCUUCGAGCCAUCUCUCCAGACAAGAGAGUGUUACUAGCCAUUAUGCGAUCAACAUCGUACCUUGUUAUGUCAAAGUUAGUCACCGCGUUUGUGCCACGGAACUUGAUAGCUGCCACAUCAUAGGCUUCCGCCGCUUCUUCUUGAGUUCCUAAUAGGGUAAAAAAAUAUCACUUGAGAUACAAGCAAGUGAAAAGGAUUUUUACUGACCAUACAUCCAUGGGUGAAAAUUACCGAAAGUUCCAAGGUAGAGAUCUUUGUUUCCAGCGACUCUACCGAUCCGGGCUUGCCACCUUCCAUGCUGGUGAUGUCUUUUAUAAUAGAAACACGAAGUCAAUAUGAAAUAAAUAAAUAAAACUAUAUAUUAGUAUAAAGUUACUUAGAUGAAAUUAAAGGUACCUGGUGACUCCUCUAUAGAUGGAAGCACCCCUAGAGAAACCACUGCUUUUUCUUCUCAAGCCGACGCAUCUCGCUUCUCGCAUCGUCAGGAGACGCCAAAAACACUUUAUACAAAGCCCCCGCGAGUGUAUUAAUAGUCGACGCAACCGGUUUCCGCAACGUGUAGAAAGACUCGAUGUACUUGGACAACGACUCUUUAUCGGUUAAGUCAACAAGAGGGUUUAAAAGAUCACGUAGGAUGACUAUAUCAGACAAUGCCACGGUCAUACCGCCUCCGGUUAAAGGAUGACGCAUGUUAAACGCGUCACCAAGAAGGAGAGCUCCUGGCGUAGGGAUGGGGUCAGCAGGCAUGCUACGGUUCGGCAUUGUUCUUAUGUUACCUUUCUCAACAGCUGAGAGGAAGGCCUCUCGGAUCUCGAUAGGUACUUGUGGUGCAACGGUUGUUUUGAGAUGUUUAGCCAUGUCGCCGCUUGCGAGUGAAGGUAGUUUUGAGCCAGGUACGUCCACUAAGCAACGGACUUCAGAGCUGCUUAUGGGGUAGAAGAGAAUGGGUGAAGGGUCGCCGAGGACAACGUGGCCGUGGUUUGGAAAGGGAAGCUCGCAGUUCUCUAAGACGAGACCGACGAAGUUUGAUGGUACUUCUACUUUAGGUUUGCAAAGAGAGCGACGUAAGUUGGAGAAACAACCAUCGCAUACGAUGGUGAGUGGAGCAUAUGAUUUAAGUUCUUGUCCUUCUUUGGUUUUGUAUUGAACGCCUUUAAUUACUCCGUUUUCUUCUACUAAUGAUGUCACUGUUCCUUGCUCCAUUUUAACACUGAAAGAAAAUAAUUCAAGUGAGAUUUUAUAGUAAUAAGCAACCUAAAUAAAUGCGUAAACCACAAGGUGGUCGUUUAGGCGGACUUUGGCGAGCUACAAGGGUUAGAAUGCACCCCAUUAACACUUUAUCUAGUGGUCAUGUGGAUAUAAAGCUAUGCUUUAGGCCUCAUUUAAAUAUUUGAAUAGAGGGUUUAUCUAUGAGCUGCAUCUCUCCUCAUGGACUGAUUUAUGUAUUUCCAUAUGCUCGGAAUACCUCGGGUUAAUAAAAAAAAGUGUACUUCUUACUUGGGAAGUGUAGAAGCUUUCUCUCGCAUCCUCUGCACAAAUCUACCAUUGUGAAAGCUACGACCAGCCACAUCAGAAUCAAACUGAUCAAGAGGGUAAGAGAGUUUGGUGUGUUUCCCAUCUUUGAAGAGUGCAUAACCAAGAACUCUCUGCGCAUCUAUCUCCUUCACACAAUCUACAACACACACAAGUCAAGUCAGCGUUGUAAUAAUAUAGAGAUGAACUAUAUUGGUUGAUUUUGGUUUUACCUUCAAGCCCGAGUUCGAUUAACUUCAAGUAUCCACCUGGUUGAAGCAACUCACCAACAAUCCGGUCAGGUUCGGUUAAGUCUCUUUCAAUAACGUGAACUCUUCUCCCUUCCUACAACAGCCAAAAAAGAACUUUAACUUUGGUUCCGUGACGCUGACGAGAACCAUAAAAUCAGCAACAAGCAAAACCCAUGUUUCAUAUCGCAACUUGAUCCUCGAAAACAAUAACAUCCUUAAGACGAUUGUCCUUAAGAGAACUAAACCUAACAUAGCUUCUGUUGCAAGAAUUCAAUGACGCUGAGAGACAAUGAAUACUAAUAAAUUAAUAAACAAUUUAAUAAGAUUCAAACACAAACGUAUACCAAUAAAUUAUAAUAAUAAUAAUAAACAAUUCUUGAUUACCUUGCCGAGUGUAUGAGCAAGGGCAGCGCCGGCAACACCAGCGCCGACAAUGAUGAUAUCGACGUCAUUGUUUCCAGGUUUCACCGUUAGGGGUUCGUUGUUUCUGCUCACAAUCUCCUUGCUCCGACGUCGCAGGAGGUAGAGAAGCAGAGACGCGAACAAGGAGGCGAAGCAUGUUGUCAGGAUUAAGUGAUCGACGGCCAUUUAUCUCCGCCGCUCGCGAGCGACCAAUCAAUGUCGGUGAUUCGAGGAGGGUUGUUACGAAACGACGCG